CGAGUUACUCCACAUAAUAGCUUGUUGUAGCAAAAAAGGAGGAUUACUAUUUCCGCCUGACUAGCGGUGCGGCAGUGUGGAGACCUGCCGCAAUACAUCAUCCGAAAAAGUACGGGGAUGUGAUAUCACAGCUUGCGAAGACACUGUGGUAAUAGUCUUGAAAAUAUGGCA
rnacentral:ncRNA from 1 species